rnacentral:misc_RNA from 1 species
GUCACUUUGAGGUGUUCAUUUAGCCAACUGUCCUGCAUCACUAUGGAAAAUUAUCUACUCUUUCAAGUGUUAGAGAUGUUAUAUAAUAAGUUGAAGAAGCUUAUUAUUCUAUUGUGAAUUAAUUUUUCCCUAGUUUUAAAUUUUCCAAUCACGAUUGGAAUAUUUUCAUGCAUCUUCUUUUCUAGGCUUCCAUUGUCUAGUUCCAACUGUUUAUAUUAUUUU